UACGUAGGGGGCAAGCGUUGUCCGGAUUUACUGGGCGUAAAGGGCGCGUAGGCGGCCACCGCAAGUCGGUUGUGAAAUCUCCGGGCUUAACCCGGAAAGGUCAAUCGAUACUGCGGGGCUAGAGUGCAGAAGGGGCAACUGGAAUUCUCGGUGUAGCGGUGAAAUGCGUAGAUAUCGAGAGGAACACCUGCGGCGAAGGCGGGUUGCUGGGCUGACACUGACGCUGAAGCGCGAAAGCGAGGGGAGCGAACGGG
rnacentral:rRNA from 1 species